CCCCGUCCCGCGGUGGGGCGAGGGAAAUGUGGCGUACAGAAGACGCUCCCCGGUGCCGCUCCCGGGGGCCCAAGUCCUUCUGAUCGAGGCACAGCCCGUGGACGGUGUGAGGCCGGUAGCGGGCCCCGGUGCGCCGGGACCGGGUCUUCUCAGAGUCGGGUUGCUUGGGAAUGCAGCCCAAAGCGGGUGGUAAACUCCAUCUAAGGCUAAAUACUGGCACGAGACCGAUAGUCAACAAGUACCGUAAGGGAAAGUUGAAAAGAACUUUGAAGAGGGAGUUCAAGAGGGCGCAGUUCGGAAGAGC